UUCUGGGAGGAUUGACAGAUCCAGAGCUCUUUCUUGAUUCUGUGGAUUUCGGUGCAUCUCCGUUCUUAGUUGUUGAAGUGGUUUGUCUGGUUAAUUCCGAUAACAAACGAGACUCUAGUGAAUCAAAUACGUGCGUGGUCCUCUGCACUUUGCACCCUUCUUAGAAGGAGAAGUGGCUCCUAUACUUCGUCUCUCCUUAUUAUAUAUAUAUGGACUACUGUUAGACGCGCGUGCUCACAGCGCGAGCUAGUCGCUUUGAAUGAAGUCACAGCGGCUACACGAGCGCUCGUGCAGCGAGUGCUCGAGUCAAGGCAGUCAAGGCUGGCCGCUCACGCUAACACAGCCUUCGCGGUUAGUUCAUGCUAGGGUGAGACGAAGUAUAGCUAUAGCCACACGAAACAGAGCAAUAAAAGGUCCGUGAUUCCCUUAGAU
rnacentral:rRNA from 1 species